rnacentral:tRNA from 1 species
GGAGUUGUGGCUCAGUGGUAGAGCGCUUGCCUAGCAUGCAUGAGGUUCUGGGUUCCAUCCACAGCACCA